AGUCCUGUAGCUCAACGGUAGAGCAAGCGCCUUACAAGCGAGAGGUUGUAGGUUCGAUUCCUAUCAGGACUACCA
rnacentral:tRNA from 2 species